GAAUCUUCCGCAAUGGACGCAAGUCUGACGGAGCAACGCCGCGUGAGUGAUGAAGGUUUUCGGAUCGUAAAGCUCUGUUGCCAGGGAAGAAGAUCUCGUAGUUAACUGCUACGAGCGUGACGGUACCUGAGAAGAAAGCCCCGGCUAACUACGUGCCAGCAGCCGCGGUAAUACGUAGGGGGCAAGCGUUGUCCGGAAUUAUUGGGGGUAAAGAGCGCGCAGGCGGUUUCUUAAGUCAGGUGUUUAAGCCCGGGGCUCAACCCUGGUACGCACUUGAAACUGGGAGGCUUGAGUGCAGGAGAGGAGAGCGGAAUUCCACGUGUAGCGGUGAAAUGCGUAGAGAUGUGGAGGAACACCAGUGGCGAAGGCGGCUCUCUGGCCUGUAACUGACGCUGAGGCGCGAAAGCGUGGGGAGCAAACAGG
rnacentral:rRNA from 1 species